CUCAGAGUAUCCAUAUCGGUUUUCUCCCCCACCCCCCCACUGGCCCUCGCACCGCCCCGACCUGACACCUUCACCAAGUUUACAAGAGGUGGCGAGCAUGCAAAUUUUAAUGACCGAUCCUCUGCAUACAAACAAUACGUAAUACUCUCCCCUCUCUCACUUCUCUUUGAACCUCGGACCAAACUUAUCCAUCUAGGAGGUUAACCAGUCUCCAAGUCGACAGGUCCUCACUGAGUCGAAAUAGCUGCCCUUAGGAUGGUGUCCAUUUUGAAGGGGAAAGAGGCAGGAUUUUGACCGCUGCAUCUUUGUCGGUGGAGAGUCCUGUCUGCGUGAUGGAUGUCGCCCGAAAUGCUCGUGUAUUCCUUAUUCCUCCUAACACAUGUCGCUGCUCUCCGCGGUCCUUUCCUGGGGCAUUCCGGUGGAUUCCUUAUUUCUUAUACACUCCCCACUCCCCACUGUCGUCCGUUGAGUUUUUUGUCUCCCUCACCGUAUUUAGCUGAGGCGCCGAAACACCCAGUUCCCAGUCAUACGAGUUGUCCUUCAGCAGCGUAAAUAGUGUUUUUGAGGUCCCUGUAAAAGGAAAGGCGAGGCGGUGGCCCUCCCUGCCUUUACGAACAAGACCUGGGAAUUACUACCAGGAGUUUCGGCUGACCCGACCAGAAUACGAACCAGAGCCCUGGGAAAGUGUGUAAGAUUUGGCCAAUCAGGAAGGAAAAGUUUGGUUUUCUCGAAUAACAGCCGACGGGCACAUGUGUCACUAGGAGCGGGAGACGAAGGAAGGAGGUUCAGUAAAUCUGGAAAGACGAAAGGAAGGAAAAGAAGAAAGAGGAAGUGGAAGGAGAUACUAGAAUAAAGGAGUUUUUCUGAUUGGCUUACAAGGAAUGCUGAGCUAAAUGAGAAUUUCUGGCCGAGUAUAGGUGGAAUGUGAGACGAAAUGAUGAGUCCUGGUCUGGUGUGGGAGGAAUGUGGGAGCGACACAAAGCGGGCAGUGUUUGCCUGUGAAUUCGGGAGGAGAGCUGAAUAUAAGGACACGUUCUAAUUGGCUGUAAAAGGUACGAGCGAUUCAUUGGUGGAAUCUGGCUGGGUGUCGGAGGAAUGCAAGGAUUACCAGCGACAUUCUUGCUGCCCCGUUUAGAAAGCAACAUUAGGUGCUUUGGGUGAGAAAUUUCAUUGAUUAACGUAAGCAGCACUUGUGGCUAAAUGAAAGCAGUAAUAAGAGAAUAAAAUACUUCAAGUUCACGCCGUAGCUUCACUCGGCAGUUAGUCUCUCGUUGUCAGUGGCUGUAGCGAAGUCACAGAUGCUAAUUAAUACUGACAGUCUACCUAUCCUUUGCUCUUCCCACACCAGCCUGGAGCAUCGCGAGGAGCCGUUUACGAGCUGCUGGUGGGUUCUUGCAGAGGUGGUGCCUGAAGCUGGCAGGAGGCAGGAUGGGAGAGGAGUGCGUGGAGCGGAGGGAAGGACUGCGAGGAGCGGAGGAGGGGAGGAGUGCUAGGGACGGUAUGGGGGGGACCAGUUUGCGCCGCCAUGUCGGAUAGGUACACAGAGUCCUCGUCGUCAGGAGUGGCGUACUAACGGUGAACACAUAAUGAGGACUUCUCGCUUCACCGCCGAGACAGAGACACUGAUACACUUCUCGCAGCGGGAAACUCCAUCGUCAACGUACAACGGAUUCGUUCCCCUCGAAGGACGCCGACAGUGAUUAGAAUCGUGACUUGAUCAAUUGAGGGCAAACCCGAAGCGGCACACUAGUCUUUCAUCCACAUGCAUUUUUUACGGUGCAUACUCGUGUGUUCCAGUGUAUAGUUUUUUGUCAUUCUUCCUUUCGCAAUGGUGAUGCCUCGCAGUCACACGAAGAGGGAGAAGAGGGAGCGACCUGACCAGGGAUCAAUGAUGUAUCUUUUUGCUGUGCUGUGUUUCGUUUUUGUCUGUUUGCUGUCGACGGUGGAAAGGUAAACUUUUGAUGUGGGGGCAGAUCUUGACUUUUCACAGCCCAGGUAACCGGAUGUUGAUAUGAGCUUUCCCAAUUCCAUGCCUCUUUCAGGAACCACACACACACACACACACACACACACACACAAGUACGCUUGCGUGCAUGACUCCGUGCAAAUAAAUUCUCAUGCAUACAUAUGGACCCUGACAUGCAUACAUACACGCACACCUACAUAGUCGCAUAUUUACAUUGGAGAAUACACGCAUACAUAUACAAACACGUACACACACUCCCUGCCACGCUCACAUGUCAACCGAUCGUAUAUUUCCUCACUAUUAGAGGGACGCGCAUUUUCACACAUGCACUCAGCUCAAGUUCACGCGCAACAUCACACACACACACACACACACACACACACACACACACACACACACACACACACACACACACACACACACAUACACGAGCAAACAUACUUGAGCACACGCACACACACACACACACACACACACACACACACACACACACACACACACACACACACAUGCACACAUGCACACAAGAGCACGUACACACACGCACGCAUGCACACACACACCUUGGGUGACAAUCAGACAUCCCUUUGGACGCCCUCCGCCACCACACAAUGCAUCUAGGAUCAACAUCUCUCGGCGCACGAGAUUCUGAAGUUCACAUGAGGCAAUAUUUAUCCAUUUUUUGGUAGCCCUUCAUUUUUAUAAAUUCCUUUCACCCACGAGUGCCAGGCUGACUUCUCUUGUAUCAAUUCAGUAUAAUUCUUUUUUUGGAAGCACCUUAUUUUUUUGUGUAUAAAAAGUAAUGUGGUAUUAGCAGUAACAUUGCUAUUAAAUUUAUUAUUGUUAUUAUGUGUUUGUGUUUAGCGUGUUUUUGUAUCACCUCUCACAUGCUCGUAGGCUGCUCCCUCCAAACGGGUUCGGCGAGAGGAGGAACCUGAGCAGGCCAGCAACACUACCUCAACCAGUUGUGACUCUCAGCGACCUACUGAUUUAUAUAUUUGUAUACCAUUAUUAUUUAAUACCAUGAAAUUGUUAUUAUUAUUAUUAUUAUUAUAAUUAUUAUUAUUAUAAUCAUCAUCAUCAUCAUUGUUAUUGUCUGCUAACAUCAUCGUAAUCUGAGGUGGGCAGCCACACAGGUGUCGCAACGCACCUCCGCAUCAGACUUUUUACAGUAUUGAUCAGCAUAUCAUUGGGAUACAUCAUUCACUUCCCGAACGAUAAUUCUUUGUUUGCCUGUCGCUAAAACCUGUCUUGAUUAAUUUGAUCUUUUUAUCAAGCACAUCAGAUUGUAGAACUACCCGAAACUAAUGAGCGAAUUAGAAAAACAAACUAAAUUGAUUCUCAAGAUUACGUAAAUCUACACAUGUGAAAGUCCUUAAGACAAAUAAACUACACAGGUAACACAGGUAAAAGCAAGAUCAAGAUUUCCUGGCCUUGGGUGUACUACAGGAACGCAAGGGGCCGGGCGGGUGUGCGCAGGAGCUAACGCGUACUGGGCCUCCUGCUUGUGCUGCGCUUGUUGCCUCCUCCUCUACGUUAAUCCCACCUGGCCUGAGCCGCUGCUCCUGCCGCUACAGGCAGUGAAGCGCCACGUGCCACAUUUGACCCCAAGCUAAAAAUCAAUAGACUCGAACGAUUCACGUGACACUCGCUGGUAAGUGAAAAUUGGUCCAUCAAUUCAUAUCUCUCUCUCUCUCUCUCUCUCUCUCUCUCUCUCUCUCUCUCUCUCUCUCUCUCUCUCUCUCUCUCCAUGAAUGGGCUACAGCAAGUAACCAACACCACGGUAUUUGCAGGAUGGUUGACUGCACAUACUAAAUCAGAGGUAGACAGGCAAAAAAAUUGUCUGGUAUUACAUUCCGGGGUGCCUUCCCUCGUCAUGCCUGCUGCGGGAGGGGAGCUGCUGAACAGAUCAUGCCUGAGAUGACAAAGACACUAGAAAGGGAGACGUGACCACACAAUACGUGCAGGUCUUUACGGUGAUGUCAGAGUCCGACACGAGUUAUUUUCUUGAGCUACUGUCUCUCUUAACUGUCUGGCUCGCCGGAACAUAGUACAUUAAAGGUUUCAUGCUAUUACGUAUCUCCUUGCUACUGCCAAAUGUUUCUGUUCACUAUUUGUUUGGGACAUAAUGGUACAUUUCACAAGCGCUGUGCUGUGUUUGACCAUUUGGCUUUUCUCUGAAAUAAACAUUUUUAUUUUCAAUGUUCACGUGAUACAAAUGGGUGAGAGAUCGGGGCGUUGAGUACACGUGAUGCAGAUGUUGCAGAGUUUGUGAUUAUCUUGCAGGCAUCACAAGCCAAGCCUUGUACAUUUCACAUGAAUGAUGAUACGCAAUCUUGCACGCGAUUUGAUUCUCAACUAUUUCCCAAUAGGUGAUGAGAUGGCUGUCCAGAUCUCUCUCCUCUGUUGUCUGGCGUCGUAGCGGCGGUCACGUUGGCUACGAGGACAUACUCAAAUCCUAAUUCCCAACAAUAAUGCUUUCCCUGAAUAUUUCGUCGCUAGUGUAAGGGACUGCAAGGGAUAUUCAUUAUCUGUCAGUAAGAUUUAUCAUAAUGUUUGAUAUCCUUGAAGCACUGCACUUAAAUCAUGGUCAUAUGUAACAGUAAUAUUUGACGAGAACUAUGAACGUUAUAUGCACCGUCGGCGAUAAGCUUUUACGGUGCGUUUCAGUAACUUAUGAGCGACUUCAUUGUUAGGACGUGGUAAUGCACACUCAGAUUCAGCUCAGCAGGUAAUGGUGCAAAUAUGAGACCAUGAAACUUAAAUAUGAGUAGUGUGUCUGAGAAUAAAAGGCUUAAACU